rnacentral:rRNA from 1 species
CCUACGGGGGGCAGCAGUGGGGAAUAUUGCACAAUGGGGGAAACCCUGAUGCAGCGACGCCGCGUGAGUGAAGAAGUAUUUCGGUAUGUAAAGCUCUAUCAGCAGGGAAGAAAAUGACGGUACCUGACUAAGAAGCCCCGGCUAACUACGUACCAGCAGCCGCGGUAAUACGUAGGGGGCAAGCGUUAUCCGGAUUUACUGGGUGUAAAGGGAGCGUAGACGGCAGCACAAGUCUGGAGUGAAAUGCCGGGGCUUAACCCCGGAACUGCGUUGGAAACUGUGCAGCUAGAGUGCAGGAGAGGUAAGUGGAAUUCCUAGUGUAGCGGUGAAAUGCGUAGAUAUUAGGAGGAACACCAGUGGCGAAGGCGGCUUACUGGACUGUAACUGACGUUGAGGCUCGAAAGCGUGGGGAGCAAACAGGAUUAGAUACCCUUGUAGUC